rnacentral:lncRNA from 1 species
CUUGUUGUCACUUGAGGCAAUCGAUAUAAGGGACAGUUGAAAAAGGCCUGCUGUGUGGCAGCAUUUUACUGGGAGGGACCCCUACGGAUGCAGUCCCCUGACUUUAGAGAAGACAGGUCAGCAGAUCACCUGACGCAGCAGGGAGAACUCAUGUCCCUGGGGCCCCAUGCACAUGGGUUUCCUGGCUCCCGAGGACCCUUCCCAAGAGCCUACCUUGGAGGGGGGGAGUCGAGGCGAAAGGGCAAGGUGCCAGAAGCCAGCGUCUUCCACCAUGGCUCUGCCGUCUUCGCCUGCCAGGUCCUGGCCCAGCGCCUGUGCCCCUCUGUGAAUCGAAGGCUGGGUAACCUGCAGGGGCCUUAGCACCAGCCUGUGCUGCCAGAGCGGAGCCAGGAGUAGUGAGUGCCCCCGAGGGGUGGAGCCCUGGUGCCGAGCCUGCUUCCCUCCAUGGUUUGGAAAACUGAGCUUCCCUUAUUUCUGCACGAAGCCUUCACCCCAUUGCCCUAUUGGCCUGCAGACACAUCUCGGCCUCCCCCACAGCAGCGGCUCCCCACCCUGGUGGCACUAGAGCCAUCCAGGGAGCUUUGUACAACAUUGGUGCCUGCACACUUCAAUUAGCCCGGGGUGGGGCCAAGGCCAGCUGGUUCUUAUAGGCUCUGGGGUAUUUUCUAAGGCAUGUGGUCAGAGCUGAGACCCACUGACCCAGAUGUUGGUAGCUGCGGGCAGGGGGUGGUAACAGCUUAAGGGCCCCAGUGAAAACAGCUUCCUCCCUCCUUUCUCGUUGCCCCUUUGUCCUUGCUGGUGUCCACAAUGCAGCGGUGAUGGUGAUGUGUGCUAGGUCCCCGGGUGUGGGUCUGAAUGGCUCCUGUGAGGACUCCAUGUCCCUUCUCUCCUGGUAUCCGGCGGGUGCCCAGAAGUGGUUAGAAUUAGUGCACCCCAGUCCUCCUGUGCCCACCCACUCCCCAGAGGCGCCUGCCCCACUUGGGUCUUAGCAUUCCAGCUGCGCGGCUCACGGAAAGUGCAGGAGGAUGGAGAUGCGUGGAGAGAUCCGCUCUGCCGCCCUCAUCCUUCUGCCGGCUGCGGUUCCCCGGCAACCGCCCAGCCUGACUCCAGAUUGGAGUUCACAUGAUCCUGCUCAGCUCCGGAAUGGGCAGCCUCCAGCCGGGGGGUUUUCUAGACAGAGCUGGGAGGUUGGGUCUGCGCGUAAUCGCGGGAGAAAGAGCCUGUCCCGGCGAAGGGGUCACCCCGGCUCUGCGGAGCCGUGGCAGGAGCCCAGCAGGGCGGGCAGAAUCCAAACAGCCUCGUCCCAACUCCCCACCCGCUAGAGGACGCCCUCCCUUCGGAUUCCAGGAGUAGCCGAGGCUGGACUUUGCUGCCUGCCCCUCUCCUGACUGCAGAGACCACACUGCCUUCCCCGGGGAGCCAGAGCCUCCAACAGAGGCUGGGCAGUUGCAGGACCGGCCCAUUGGUGGAUCAGGAAGUCAAUCUCGUAGCUCAUGACCUGCAUUUUAAAAAUUGAAACAGAACAGAAAAUAUCAGAAUGCAUGGGCAGUAGUGGGGUAAGUGUUGCUUGGGGAAGUUCACUUCUCUGGGUGUAUGUGUGUGUGUCCAUGUCCCAGUGUGCUGGGUCAAGUGCACAGCAUGUUUCCUGCUAUAGUUUGUGGUCCAAAAAGCUUAAAGGCAGCCCCUCCAGUGCAUGGGCGCCUGGGUUCUGGGUUCUGGGUUCAGAUUCCCUCUGACUUGCUGUGUGAGCUUGGGGCGCUUCUGUGUCUAGCCUCUGUGGGUCUCCGAUUCUGGAAAAUGGGUUCAUAUGACUCAUGGGGACUUUGUGAGCCCUAAGAAGACUGAAAUUUCAGGCCAUUCCAAGGACUUCAGAAAUGAGACCCUAUUGUCUUGUGGGAGUGAGGCUCUGCCAGGUAAAGAUGGGACUGAGGAAAAAGGCAACCUGACUCCUGCACCUCCCUUAGAGGG